GAACAUAUGUGCUUGUGUACCCUGAAAUUUGGAACUAGACUUGAGCAGGUUGAAGUCUGGGGAAACCCUGAUGGAAGACCGAAACAGUUCUGACGUGCAAAUCGAUUGUCAGAAUUGAGUAUAGGGGCGAAAGACCAAUCGAACCAUCUAGUAGCUGGUUCCUUCCAAAGUUUCCCUCAGGAUAGCUGGUGCAUUUAACUGUUGUAUAAAAUAAUCUUAUCUGGUAAAGCGAAUGAUUAGAGGCCUUAGGGUCGAAACGAUCUUAACCUAUUCUCAAACUUUAAAUGGGUAAGAACCUUAACUUUCUUGAUAUGAAGUUUAAGGUUAUGAUAUAAUGUGCCCAGUGGGCCACUUUUGGUAAGCAGAACUGGCGCUGUGGGAUGAACCAAACGUAAUGUUACGGUGCCCAAAUUAACAACUCAUAC
rnacentral:ncRNA from 1 species